UCUGGCGCCUUCGGUGUCCGAGUUGUAAUUUGAAGAAGGUAACUUUGGUUUUGGCUCUUGUCUAUGUUCCUUGGAACAGGACGUCACAGAGGGUGAGAAUCCCGUGCGAUGAGAUGCCCAAUUCCAUGUAAAGUGCUUUCGAAGAGUCGAGUUGUUUGGGAAUGCAGCUCUAAGUGGGUGGUAAAUUCCAUCUAAAGCUAAAUAUUGGCGAGAGACCGAUAGCGAACAAGUACAGUGAUGGAAAGAUGAAAAGAACUUUGAAAAGAGAGUGAAAAAGUACGUGAAAUUGUUGAAAGGGAAGGGUUUGAGAUCAGACUUGGUAUUUUGUAUGUUUUACUCUCGGGUGAGGCCUCUGCAGUUUACUGGGCCAGCAUCAGUUUGGAUGGUAGGAUAAUGACAUUGGAAUGUGGCUCUUCGGAGUGUUAUAGCCCUUGUUGAUACUGCCUAUCUAGACUGAGGACUGCGUCUUUGACUAGGAUGCUGGCAUAAUGAUUUUAAACCGCCC
rnacentral:rRNA from 2 species